rnacentral:rRNA from 1 species
UAACGCGAAGAACCUUACCAAGGCUUGACAUAUAGAGGAAAAGUGCAGAAAUGCACUCCCCGCAAGGUCUCUAUACAGGUGGUGCAUGGUUGUCGUCAGCUCGUGUCGUGAGAUGUUGGGUUAAGUCCGGCAACGAGCGCAACCCACACUCUUAGUUGCCAGCUUAAUAUGACUCACUAUAGGGGAACUGCCGAUGAUAAGUCGGAGGAAGGCGUGGAUGACGUCAAGUCCUCAUGGCCCUUACGGGCAGGGCUACACACAUGCUACAAUGGGUAGUACAGAGAGUCGAUAAGCCGCGAGGUGGCGCUAAUCUCACAAAGCUAUUCGUAGUCCGGAUUGGAGUCUGCAACUUGACUCCAUGAAGUAGGAAUCGCUAGUAAUCGGAUAUCAGCAUGACGCGGUGAAUACGUUCCCGGGUCUUGUACACACCG